rnacentral:antisense_RNA from 1 species
AAUAUGGAAAUGAAUAUAUUAUUUAAUUUUGUAAAACAUAGUUGUUUGUUUUAGUUAUAUGAUUUAAGGGAGUUAGGUUAUAUUAAAGAAGAAUUUAGGGAAAAAUAAUAAGAUUUAAGUAUUAUAUAAAUAAUGAAUAGUAAGUAUAAAGAAAAUAUGCAGAUUUAGUGUUUCGUUAUAAUAAUAAAAAAUAAGUAGUGUGUAAUUAGAAGAGGAAUGGAGAUAAGAAAAAAGUCCCGUUUCCAUCUUCAAAUUAAAAAGAGAUAUAUUAUAUUUUAAAAUAGCUCUUCUAGUAGUUCUGUUUUUUGCUCAGAAAGCCUUUGUGCAGCAAGCCAGAGACCAAAUCUAUGAGAAAUAGUUCCAUUAAACUGCUCAAGAGUACGAUUGAAUCUUCUAUAGUCGAAGGUAGAUGGAAUACUAUGAAGGAUGGAUAUACAUCCUUCAAAUGAUGUCAUAAUCAGCUUAUGUUCAUGGUACUUAAGAACACCAAGAGCAACUUGGAAUGCAUAUGGUUCUCCAAAAAGAAAAAGAGAAUCCCAAACCUUUGGAAUAACUUGUAUUGGAAUACAUGUUGAAAAUAAAGAAGUCAACCAUGAAAUUAAGUAUGUGUCUGAUGUAAUACUUAAUAAAUCAAAAUGAUAAGCCAAAGAAGGCAUUAAUUCUUUAAAUAACAUAUCAAAGAAAUCCAAUCUCAUUUUAACAUUUCUAUGAUUAAGCAUAAACAUAUCUAAGAAGAAGCUGUUAUGCAAAAGGUUAGUAAAGGUUUUAAAUGCUUCCAUCAAAUUAAUAUUAAAUAACAAAAGAAUCAUUGCAAUAUGACUCAUCCCCUCAACAUAACCUAUAUCAGGCCUAUACAAUAUAAAACAUUCAACCAAAAUCUUAGUACUCUGGUCUAUUCUAUAUAUACUCGGAUUGUCAUUAAAAAAUAAUAAUACACUCUCAAGUUCUGAAUCUUCAUCAUCUUCCAGAAUUUUCCUAUUAAUAUGAGAUUGGGAAAUUGGAGAGAGCCCGCCUAAUGGUGAAGGAACUGUCAUAAAUGUAGAAUCUGAUUGUUCAUUAGCCAUUUGUUUCUGUUCUAUAUAUUUUGCUUUU